ACGCUCGACACCUACGGGAGGAAGCAGUGGGGAAUAUUGCACAAUGGGGGAAACCCUGAUGCAGCAACGCCGCGUGAAGGAAGACGGUUUUCGGAUUGUAAACUUCUGUUCUUAGUGAAGAUAGUGACGGUAGCUAAGGAGCAAGCCACGGCUAACUACGUGCCUGCAGCCGCGGUAAUCUGAGCGGGCUGGCAAGGC
rnacentral:rRNA from 1 species